rnacentral:rRNA from 1 species
UACGUAGGGUGCGAGCGUUAAUCGGAAUUACUGGGCGUAAAGCGUGCGCAGGCGGUUUUGCAAGCCGGAUGUGAAAUCCCCGGGCUUAACCUGGGAAUGGCAUUUGGGACUGCAAGGCUGGAGUGCGGCAGAGGAGACUGGAAUUCCUGUUGUAGCAGUGAAAUGCGUAGAUAUCAGGAGGAACACCGAUGGCGAAGGCAGGUCUCUGGGCUGACACUGACGCUCAUGCACGAAAGCGUGGGGAGCAAACAGG